GAUGAACGCUGGCGGCGUGCCUAAUACAUGCAAGUCGAGCGAACGGACGAGAAGCUUGCUUCUCUGAUGUUAGCGGCGGACGGGUGAGUAACACGUGGAUAACCUACCUAUAAGACUGGGAUAACUUCGGGAAACCGGAGCUAAUACCGGAUAAUAUUUUGAACCGCAUGGUUCAAAAGUGAAAGACGGUCUUGCUGUCACUUAUAGAUGGAUCCGCGCUGCAUUAGCUAGUUGGUAAGGUAACGGCUUACCAAGGCAACGAUGCAUAGCCGACGUGAGAGGGUGGUCGGCCACACUGGAACUGAGACACGGUCCAGACUCCUACGGGAGGCAGCAGUAGGGAAUCUUCCGCAAUGGGCGAAAGCCUGACGGAGCAGCGCCGCGUGAGUGAUGAAGGUCUUCGGAUCGUAAAACUCUGUUAUUAGGGAAGAACAUAUGUGUAAGUAACUGUGCACAUCUUGACGGUACCUAAUCAGAAAGCCACGGCUAACUACGUG
rnacentral:rRNA from 1 species